UACGUAGGGUGCAAGCGUUAAUCGGAAUUACUGGGCGUAAAGGGCGCGUAGGUGGUAAAGCAAGUAAGAUGUGAAAGCCCUGGGCUUAACCUGGGAAGUGCAUCUUAAACUGCUUAACUAGAGUAUGGUAGAGGGUAGUGGAAUUUCCGGUGUAGCGGUGAAAUGCGUAGAGAUCGGAAGGAACGCCAGUGGUGAAGACGACUACCUGGACCAAUACUGACACUGAGGCGCGAGAGCGUGGGGAGCGAACAGG
rnacentral:rRNA from 1 species